rnacentral:rRNA from 1 species
CCUACGGGAGGCUGCAGUGGGGAAUAUUGCACAAUGGGCGCAAGCCUGAUGCAGCCAUGCCGCGUGUGUGAAGAAGGCCUUCGGGUUGUAAAGCACUUUCAGCGGGGAGGAAGGCGUUAAGGUUAAUAACCUUGUCGAUUGACGUUACCCGCAGAAGAAGCACCGGCUAACUCCGUGCCAGCAGCCGCGGUAAUACGGAGGGUGCAAGCGUUAAUCGGGAUUACUGGGCGUAAAGCGCACGCAGGCGGUCUGUCAAGUCGGAUGUGAAAUCCCCGGGCUCAACCUGGGAACUGCAUUCGAAACUGGCAGGCUAGAGUCUUGUAGAGGGGGGUAGAAUUCCAGGUGUAGCGGUGAAAUGCGUAGAGAUCUGGAGGAAUACCGGUGGCGAAGGCGGCCCCCUGGACAAAGACUGACGCCCAGGUGCGAAAGCGUGGGGAGCAAACAGGAUUAGAUACCCGGGUAGUC